rnacentral:rRNA from 1 species
AUGCCUACUUUUUUUGAAACAUUUCUGGUUGUUUUGGUAGAUGAGGAGGGAAUUGUUAGAGUAGACGUUCCUUUUAGAAGAGCAGAAUCCAAAUAUAGUGUUGAACAAGUAGGUGUAACGGUGGAGUUCUAUGGUGGCGAACUUAAUGGAGUAAGUUAUUCUGAACCUGCUACUGUAAAAAAAUAUGCGAGGCGUUCUCAAUUAGGGGAAAUUUUUGAAUUAGACCGGGCUACUUUGAAAUCUGAUGGUGUUUUUUGCAGCAGUCCAAGGGGUUCGUUCACUUUUAGUCAUGCUACCUUUGCUUUGGUCUUCUUUUUCGGACACAUUUGGCAUGGUGCUAGAACAUUGUUCCGAGAUGUUUUUGCUGGUAUUGAUCCAGAUUUGGAUGCUCAAGUGGAAUUUGGAACAUUCCAAAACGUGGGAGAUCCAACUACAAGGAAACAGGCAGUCUGA